UACGUAGGGUGCAAGCGUUGUCCGGAAUUAUUGGGCGUAAAGAGCUCGUAGGCGGUUUGUCGCGUCUGCUGUGAGAACUCGGGGCUUAACCCCGGGCCUGCAGUGGGUACGGGCAGACUAGAGUGCGGUAGGGGAGACUGGAAUUCCUGGUGUAGCGGUGAAAUGCGCAGAUAUCAGGAGGAACACCGGUGGCGAAGGCGGGUCUCUGGGCCGUAACUGACGCUGAGGAGCGAAAGCAUGGGGAGCGAACAGG
rnacentral:rRNA from 1 species